UUCUGGGUCUUAUUUUUUUGUAAGUGAAUUACUAUGUUUAAGCUUUCAACCUGUUCUUCAGUGAAUGGAUAUUCAAUGACUCCUUUUCAGAGUGCAGUUCUUUGCUGCUGUAGAGAAAAGGCUGCAGCUACAACAGAAAUAAAUCGCACAAGGCACAUGCAAGCAAGAUAUCUCCCACAGACAUUCUUCAGCCUAAACUCCACAUUAGUGUUCAACUACAUGUCUCAAGGGAAUUUUUCUGAAGUAUUCCAACAUCAAUAAAAUGACGCAAAGGUGGAAGAAAACUUCUAUGGGGCCAUCGUGCCAGCAGCUCGAGCGCUGCGUGCUCAUUAAAGACUUCCUAGAAACCUGCCCAGAUGCCAUCAAAGUCCACUAAUAAUGGCAGCCUCUGCUGGUAAUUGAGAAACAGAAUAUUUUAGAUACUCGAGAACUUGUUUAUUUUAAAAUACUGGCAAAAUGAAACUGGUGUGCUGGCAGCCCAGUGAGUGAGAACCGGACCAUGUUUCUCAGCUACUGGAGCUCAUUCCCUGGAUUUCGGUGGUGCCGAGCCACUUCCCACAAUCUCGGGAAAGGUGGUCCAGGGAAGGAGGCAGCUCUGCCACGCUCCUUCACGCGUCGGUUUGACAUCGGUGCCGGCUGGCAGACAGCUUAUUUCAUCUUUCAUUCCAGCGAUAUAGGCACCAGCAGCAAAUAGACCUGUUUCUGCAGCGCCCGCCUGGGUUGUCCCUGCUGGCACGUGAGGGUCAAGGUGGAGACGCUUCCUGGGCCUCUGCUGCUGGGAGGCAAGGUGAGAGAUGAUUUGCUCCGUUUCUGUCGGUGUGGUCUUGCCUGGGCAGCCUGGCGAUGCUCGUGGUGUUUGCUGCCGGCGGGUUGCGUUUUCCCACCGCCGUUGUGGUUGCACGAAGAAUGUAAUAGCGCUUCAGAAGGACAUGGCAAAAGAUGUAGCUCAUCUCCAGGAAAAGCCACAAUUUCUCCCAGGCUCAUACUGCCUAAGUAGCUCCGAGUAGAUGACCGCUUCAGAUGAUUACAGAGUUUCCCUGACCUGAGCCACUGACAGUUUUUUCUGCUGCUUCAUAUAGCGUAAGUUUUCUUAAAAAGUCUAUGGCUGGAAAUUUAUAUGUAUUUUGUAUUUAUACGUAUUCGUAUUUAGAUGUAUUUUGUAUAUACACAUACAAUUCCUGAUAACUCAUAAUGUUUCUAUUAAGUUCAAAGAAUUUGGCAUAUUAUGGGUAAAAUAGGAAACCAACUCAGAUUGUGAUUUUGUCUGUGUGUAGAAAAUUAAAUGCAAGAAUUUGAGAGAAUUUUAAGGUGUGCUCUCUAAAGCAUAAAGAAGUCACUCUUAACGUAUGGCAUUUUGCAAUAGGUAUGUGAAUAGUUAAGCCGAGUACUCUGGCUAAGUUAAGCAGUGCAGCCCCCAGCUUUUGGGAGGAUAUUCAGUGAAGUCAGGCCUCCUGGAAUCAGACGAGCUCUCCAGCUUUAGGAAGGUUUGUGCCCUAAGGUUUGAAGGUUUAUACUUCUGGUCCAAGGUUAAUUCGUGUUUACUUCUAGUAGGGGCUGAGAUCAGCUGAAACUGAAUUUGAAUUUACAGAACAAGUAAAUGGGGAAAGAAGUAAAAACAAAUCCUGAUAAAGGUGCAAGUAUCUCCUGCAGCAUAUAUACUUGCUCUUUUUAUUAAAUUAUAAAUCAAGGUUGGAUGAGUUGUCACUCUCUCUAACCCAUUUUUUCUGUUUGUUUCUUCCCCACGUAGAGCGUUUUUUCCACAGUACGUGCCUUCUCUAAGCUUUGGCAAAAUAAGAGUUCUCAGAAUGUCUCAAGGUACACUGACAGCAUCAGAAAUUCAAUUUAUUUUCAUUAGAAAGAGAUUUCAAUCUGCAGACAAGAACCUCUAAAGUUUGUGGUAGCUUGUGGUAUGCUCUGAAACCCAGCUGACUGGUUUUAUUAGGGAACUGCUGUAAUUGUCAAAACAGCCUGGGCGCUUUUUGUCUGUCUUCCUUCAUGAAAGCUAAUGUACAGGAAAACGGUGUGGCUUUUGCAUUGUCUGUUCUCAAAUUUUAGUCCCCAUGUCUGAUGUUCAGUGCUGUCAUACGCUGCUUUUUUGUAUCUUCCUACAAAAUAAAAAGUUUUGCAAAUUUUUCUCCAAAACACAACAUUUGGACCGCAGUUAAACUGGAAACAAUACUGCUGUACUGUGUUUGUAGUUCUGUAACAACGCUUUUUCAUCGGAGGAUCUGAAUGCAAAAUUUCCAGCCAGGCGCUGUCCCUAGCUGAGCACGCAAAUAGGAAGGAGCCGAAGGAGCUCUCCUUCGCUCGCUGCUUCAUGCCACGUUUACCCAAAGCCAGGGAUAACAAAAGCUCAGCCGUUGCUCCAAAGCAGAGUUUAUUGACCCCAGAAGUGGAGGCAGAGCCGGGGUGGUUGCACCUUGUCUGCGCUCCCCUCGGCACCUCUGCCCUCUCCUCUUGCUCUGCCUUGCAGUUAAUUCCCGUGUCGUGGUGGGCCCAGGGGGCACGUGGGGCUUCCUAUAGCCGUUACAGACAGAGCCUGGUUCCUUUUCUUUCUUUAAUACCCAGUGGAAGCCACCUGGAGAGACUAUGACAUUUUAAGGAUGUGCGAUGGUACCCCAAAUAGAUAAACUGAGGCACACCAGAGUGAAAUCAGCUGCUCAUGGGUGUAUCUCUAACUACGUUCCCCUGGAUGUUGUAUUUUCUUUUAUUAAAAUGAAUGUCUUGGCUCUGUACUUGGCUAUUCCAUCGGCAGGUGAAGUGUAGCGGGCUGGAAUGACUCAUUAAUAAGGUGUUGUGAGAGUCUAUUGCCCUGUGCCAACUCUUCCUUAAAAAAAUUCACCAUAAUUUUCUUUCUUUUUUGUGAAGAAGCUUGGGAACCCAAUUAACUUUUUAUCUAGUUGUUAUUGUUUCACCUUGAGAUGGGAGCUAUAAGCGCUUUGAUAAAUGGGUCAGAAGUCUGUGUAGCUCCAAAAGAGCUUUCCCCAGCCCGUGGGCCGUUUGGGGCUCGCGGGUUUGGGUGCUCCCCUGCGAGCCACGGCACCUGCCCAUCGCCGCUCGCGGGAACGGCGCAUCGGAGGGGGUUAUUUCUCUUUCCUCUCAAUUUAGGAACAGAGACAUUGUCUUAAAGCUGUGUUAAGUCAGGUCUCAACCCUCUUGGCAGUGGUGUCACGUGCCCUGUACUUCUACUGCAGGUUGGCCUCAACCUUUUUAUUUUUGGGGGACUUUUUCUAUUCUUAAAGAGCCUUAAUGCUUUUUUUCCCAAAGGUAACUAUGGAACGGCUGUAGCAGCCACUGGCCGUUGUUCUUCCGAGCCGAUAGUGGAGAUGGGCUGCCCUUGGUGUGCAACCAGCAGGAAGGAGCCAUCCUGGCCCCAGACCAGGACCCUGUGGCCGGACAGGGCUGCGGUGGCGGGAGAGGUGGUGAGCCCUGCCGUGUCCCUUUGGCAGCUGGAGGACACGUGUGCUGGGAAAAGGGGCAACUUCCCAAGGUGCCUGGGAGUUUGGGGGCAGAGCACCUUGGUGCUUCCUUCACUCCAAGUCCGUAUUUCUUCCCAAUCUUGUUUCAAUACUGUAGCACCAUGCGUUGUUACGUUAAUUAAAUAUUCUAUAUUAUGAAUUGCUCCUCAGAGGCUGCAGCGUGCGGAGCAGAUGUCAAAUCCAGCUGCAGCUCUGGACGUGGCCAUCGGGCUCUGCCGGAAAUGAUGAGGCAGGGGGACGGGGAUGUCCCCGCUCCUUUUCUCCACCGUGGGACCCAGGCUGGCUCAGCACAGCUCUGGCCCCGGGUUGCGUUUCAGCCAGGAUCUGUGUCUCUGCCGGGGAUAGAGGAGGAACCACAUGUGCCUGCAGCCCCUCACGGCCCCGGGCGGAGAGGCAGCGAAGAGGAGAGUGCGACAAGUACGAUGCGUGCAAGAUACCUCCAACAAGAACUGAGCGGUAGCAGGGUUUGCAGCAUGACUCCCUCUAAAUCUGAGUCCUUGUGUCUGAGAUUUGGCUCACAAGGGAUAGCUCUACACUGGCGUGUUUCAUCUGAAAGACCUCUGCGGGGACUUUUACUAAGGUGUUCGUGGAGACUCAUCGAAACCAUGUUUCUCUCUGGAAAGAUGCUGUCUAACUGCAGCCUUUUCUGAGGCAGAUGAAAAGUGAGGUAGAGGAUGGCCACAGUGAAGUGCAGAGCUUCUGCGACCCCCAGGCUGGGAACAGAUGUCAGGCGUAUGCAUCAGCAGAUCUAUCCAGACACCAGGCAUCCCGAGGACUGGUGACACCAGUGACCUGGGGCCUGGCAUCUGCCUGCCGUAGCAAAACUGACACCUACUAGGGUGCUUCCAGGAUGCACGGACCAGCUGCGAAGACCUGAAAUUAGAAAGUUCACCAACGGUAUCUAAGGAAGUCAGCCGUGAUGGGUGUUUCAGAGCAGCAUCCUCAGGAGGAAGCGGUUCAACCCGUAGUUACGCAGCUGGGUCUGCUGUUAUCUGCGACGCUCUCCGCGUGACCGAGCCACGUGGUUGCAGUAUCUUCAGAUAAAUGAGGCAACAGUCGCAAGCAAGCAGUCUGCAGCACGGAUCAAACUCAUGGGAAAGGCGGUGAACAGCCCUCGUGACUCGCGAGCUGCUGGGCCUCUCCGUACGUGAAGGCGUCAGCCAGCCCUUCGGCUCUGGCCUCUUUUCCUUGUGUCCCUGGGGAAAUAGAAGUCCGAUAUGGAAAGCUGCACCAAAGCUAUGAAUGUGUGCGUGGCUCCCUUUUCCCGCUGAUUUCCAGGAAGACUUAGGUGCCUUCACUGCCCUUUGUGCUUCCGAACGUACCACCCAAACAGCCUCUUAGUUGAAAUAGAAAAUGAGGCAACAACACAUUAUAAUCGGUGCCUUUCUUGAUGCAUCAGAUCGAUGAUACAUGUGCUUUGUGUUUAUAGACGAUAGAAGAACUUUCAAAACCAAGAAAACAGCAGAAAAUCUGUUAUUUAUUUUUCUCUCCUACUCAUGUGAUCUUUGCUACCAGUGGAGCCUCUGAAGUAGGGCAGAGGCAACGAUAUCUGGGCCCAGUAUGGCUAAUAUUCAAAACAACAACAAAAGAUAGAUUUUUUUUCUUUCUUCUUUUCUUUCUGCCAGGGGUAUUUUUUGAGAUGACAUUGUGAAAUUGGUCUGGCUAGUUGUGAAUGAUGUAUGAAAGGGAAAAAUCCCUGCCUGCAACACAAAGAAACACACAGUGCAACCAGAUCACCGUGGCUGUGCUAUGGUAUGCUAUUUGCCGAGUCCUUUGCGCACAGACCCACCAUUAAGUUUGGAGCUAGAAAGAAAAGGCCAUCGUGCUUGCAUACAUUGAAAAAGGAAAAGAAUAGGUAAGAAGAAAAACAGGGUUUAAAAAUACUUAUUCUCUUUACUGCUCUGACAUAUAUCCUUUUUUCUGGGAAAAGAUUUGCUAGAGUUUGAUAUUUUGUUCCCGCAGAACAAUACUCAUGUCGUACCCGUGGAUAAAAUCAUAACGGUAGUUCUUGGAAAGCGCGGAAAGAUUACAGUCAACAGUAUCCAUCUAUCUGUAAUUUCAAAAUACAUUUUAUCUUGCAGAUUUCUGCUUACAGUGGAUCACAAAAGCCUUGCCAGGACUAGCAAGACAAGUUCAGAUUUAACCAAACGUUUUGUCAAAUAUCUAAGUGAAAAACAGUCUAUUUGCAUAAAUAUUUGGAAUUAAAUACACUGACUCUGCAUAUGAGGAAUAAGAAUAGUGUACCGAGGGUGUUCUCUUGGCAAAACAUGGCUAUUCUGGGAUAUUUAGUAGCGAAGCAGAUGUCCUGGGGAAACGGGAGAGCUGGGGUUCCUCCACCAGCACAGGCUGUUAUUUAUGUCACGUUAUUGGGCUUGUCCCUGCUUCCACAGCCACGGUGAGCACAGCCCUGCUUAUUCCUGAUACCCUUCAGAGGACAGUUCUGGGAUCCAUAAAAAUACAAUAAAAAACACAUCAAAAGUACCUAUUGCGAAAGUUUAUUGAGUAGUUUUCUGUCAAGGAGUUUUUCUGACUACACUUUUGCAUAUGUGUUAAAGAGGUUGGAGUGAAGGUAAGCUAUUAAUAAAAGCAGACUAACAUUGCAGUACUUUAGGCAUUUCUGCAUACAGGCUCAUACGCAUGAAAUGCAGUUUUAUUGUUCAAGCAAAUCGUAUCUCUAGAAUUUAGAUAUGUUUUUAAGUUCAGAAUAAACCUUUCAUGGAUUCAAAGAAGGUGUUGCUAUCGGAAAUGAAAUGCUGAGAACUCGAGAAAGGACAGUGCUCUGCUGCUACAGAUUUAUACUUGCCUUUCGGCUUUCCAUAAUUUGCCUUAUAUCUGUUGCCGUGUCCUAAGAAGCAGAAAGGAACGAAGUGGCAAUGUCUUGAUGGGCAUAGAAAAGAAAGAUGGUGCAAUGGGAAGCAACUAAAUGCAGGGUCUUCUCUGCGUUACUGCAGACAUGGUAUCUGUAGUCUAAUCUGUUUGUUUGUGCUGCAUCGCUGCCUAGAAACCUUAAUCGUGGACGUGAAUCCUGCUGUGCAUGGUGCUCUCAAACACUGAAAAAAGACCAUCUUGCCCAACAAGCAAAUAUGAAGUGGGUAAUGUAGAUUCAGAUUUGAGAUGUCUGAAACUGAAGAGCCUAACAGAGUUAUUCCUUCUCCUCUGCAAUUUUCUCUAGAAACAGAAGUAUUUGAAGAAUCACUCACACUAGUUAACCUGUGAUCCAGUUUACAGCCCCAACCUUCUUAAGAAGAAAUAACUAUGAAAGAAAUCAAUAUAUGAUCCAAAAUUAAAAUAAAAAAUUCAAGUCAAGGUAGAUUUUUCCGCAUUUCAGACACAAAUUUGACUUCAAGCAACUUAAGUAGAUAGUCAAUGCCUAUAAUUUUUAUAUCUUGCUAUAUAAAGUAAUGUUUCAGCUUUAUAAGGAUAAUAUUGCAUUAGGAUUGAAAGCUCACUGGAAGACACAUAUAUCCAUAAUCCAUAACAAAGGUUAAAUCAAAUGACCUUCUGCAGAUCAGCUGGAAAGAAAAGAAAGUAGUUGAGACAAUUGGAAGGAAUUUCACAUACAAGAAUAAGCAAUGCUGCUUAAAAUCAUGUUCCAUCUUUUUUGCCAAAGUGAAAUGAAGCUAAAAUAAUGAAUCAUUUUUAAGUCCAGUGCAGGCCAAUUGCACCUUUAGAUUCUGCAAAUAUAAAUGACCUAAUCUAAAAGUCAUUCUUCAGUGAUGAUAAAUAAUGUUGUGGACAACAUACACCUCAGCAAAAGGUGUGGACUGAUACCUAUUCUAGAGAUUGAGAUGUCUGUCUAGAAAUAUUCUGCAGAGAUGUAUACAUACCACUUGCCUUUUGUGGAUGUCAGUUAUCCACACCUUCUCUUCAUGAAGUAUUGAAUUCGUUCUUAUGUAUCAUCCAUAACUUCAAUGAUUUUUUUUCCUCCGUGCACUCUUAUCCAGUUCAAUAGAUACCUUAAGGUUACUUUAACCUUCAUGAUGUCUUAGAAUUCUUUCCAGUACAUAAUUGAACAUUAAAAAAAAAAAAAAGGGCCCAUUACAAAAGGCUGAAACAUUCAUUUUACUGUUGAAACAGAUGCAACAUGAAUUUAUUUAGUUCUAAAGACUGCUGUUAUCAAUGCCUAAUUCAUUUCUUCACAAUGCAGAAAGAUAAAGAGAAGCACUCUUUUCCCAAGGUUAUAACUACCCUAAUUCGUUCCAGGUUUCUGACUUGUAACAAGUUACAUUUGCACAAUCAGUGAUUGAUCGCAGUUUGUUAGAACAAGGCAUAAUUCCCCACCCGUUCUCUGUUUCUGAUUUAUGAAUGGGGCACAUAGUACCAUCUAAUAUGUACAUUCUGUUCUUAUAUUUCAGUAAAACUUAAUGCAUAUAUUUUGAAGGCAAAUUUUGCUUAAUAAUAAUGUCAGUUGUGUACCCUGGCUUGCAUAAAGGAUUUUUUCAAACAG